rnacentral:rRNA from 1 species
GCAGUCGAACGCGUUGGCCCAAUUGAUUGAUGGUGCUUGCACCUGAUUGAUUUUGGUCGCCAACGAGUGGCGGACGGGUGAGUAACACGUAGGUAACCUGCCCAGAAGCGGGGGACAACAUUUGGAAACAGAUGCUAAUACCGCAUAACAGCGUUGUUCGCAUGAACAACGCUUAAAAGAUGGCUUCUCGCUAUCACUUCUGGAUGGACCUGCGGUGCAUUAGCUUGUUGGUGGGGUAACGGCCUACCAAGGCGAUGAUGCAUAGCCGAGUUGAGAGACUGAUCGGCCACAAUGGGACUGAGACACGGCCCAUACUCCUACGGGAGGCAGCAGUAGGGAAUCUUCCACAAUGGGCGCAAGCCUGAUGGAGCAACACCGCGUGAGUGAAGAAGGGUUUCGGCUCGUAAAGCUCUGUUGUUAAAGAAGAACACGUAUGAGAGUAACUGUUCAUACGUUGACGGUAUUUAACCAGAAAGUCACGGCUAACUACGUGCCAGCAGCCGCGGUAAUACGUAGGUGGCAAGCGUUAUCCGGAUUUAUUGGGCGUAAAGAGAGUGCAGGCGGUUUUCUAAGUCUGAUGUGAAAGCCUUCGGCUUAACCGGAGAAGUGCAUCGGAAACUGGAUAACUUGAGUGCAGAAGAGGGUAGUGGAACUCCAUGUGUAGCGGUGGAAUGCGUAGAUAUAUGGAAGAACACCAGUGGCGAAGGCGGCUACCUGGUCUGCAACUGACGCUGAGACUCGAAAGCAUGGGUAGCGAACAGGAUUAGAUACCCUGGUAGUCCAUGCCGUAAACGAUGAGUGCUAGGUGUUGGAGGGUUUCCGCCCUUCAGUGCCGGAGCUAACGCAUUAAGCACUCCGCCUGGGGAGUACGACCGCAAGGUUGAAACUCAAAGGAAUUGACGGGGGCCCGCACAAGCGGUGGAGCAUGUGGUUUAAUUCGAAGCUACGCGAAGAACCUUACCAGGUCUUGACAUCUUGCGCCAACCCUAGAGAUAGGGCGUUUCCUUCGGGAACGCAAUGACAGGUGGUGCAUGGUCGUCGUCAGCUCGUGUCGUGAGAUGUUGGGUUAAGUCCCGCAACGAGCGCAACCCUUGUUACUAGUUGCCAGCAUUAAGUUGGGCACUCUAGUGAGACUGCCGGUGACAAACCGGAGGAAGGUGGGGACGACGUCAGAUCAUCAUGCCCCUUAUGACCUGGGCUACACACGUGCUACAAUGGACGGUACAACGAGUCGCGAACUCGCGAGGGCAAGCAAAUCUCUUAAAACCGUUCUCAGUUCGGACUGCAGGCUGCAACUCGCCUGCACGAAGUCGGAAUCGCUAGUAAUCGCGGAUCAGCAUGCCGCGGUGAAUACGUUCCCGGGCCUUGUACACACCGCCCGUCACACCAUGAGAGUUUGUAACACCCAAAGUCGGUGGGGUAACCUUUAGGAGCCAGCCGCUAAG